CCGUUCUGCUGCUUCCCAGCUGCUGCUGCAGAAGAUGAAGGGCAGGGGCUUCCCCUGGUCCCGGCUGCUGCUCGUCCUCCUGGUGUUCGCCGCCGGUUUCCUCAUACACGAUGUCCAGACACACGGCUCGCUGCAGGCCUCCGCCUCUGCCCACGUGCUGCGUUCCUCCGGCAUCCUGCCCGCCUGGCAGCACGCCUGGCACAAGGCAGCCCACUUCUGGCUGGAGAGCUACAGGUCAGUGUCCCCGGCGCUCGGCAGCGGUGCGACUGAGCGGUGUGAAGUGGCUAACGCAGCACAAAGUGAUUUCUGUAGGGAGCCCUUUUUGCUCGGGAAGCGUUCCCCGGGUGCUCCUGGAAGUGCUUUUCCGCUCAGCUCUUGAGUUCUCCCGUUCGUUCCCUUGGCUGCGGCAGCGGUCUCCAGGUGGCUGGAGAGGACGCUGCCCGCCUGCUGCUCCCGUGCCGCGGCUCUCCUGCAGCCCACGCUGCAGCCGCUCUGGGCGAAGGCGGCCGAGCUGACCCUGCACAUCAGCAAGCAGUGCUCCGUGUACCUCUCCUGGGCCGGGGAGCGCCUGCCCUGGCUGCUGGAAUGGCUCUAGCUCUAGUACCGGGUCCCCGACGCUCAUCCUGCACGUCGCUGAGUGUAUGCGAAGCUGUCUGCGCCUAGAACACAUAACCGCUACGUAGAGGGCUGCGAAUUGCGAAUAACUGCAGGUCUUUGGUCCUGUGCGUGCGGCCGUGCCACGUCCCGGCUCCUGAGCUAGGUGUGUUGGGCGCGGGGCUGUGGGGUCGCAGCCGCCUCCGUCGCACGGCGACCUGCGACCACAACGGCCAUCUCCCUUCUUCCACCCUCUCCCCGCUCCUUGCCCCACUCCCGGAGCCCCGCGUCGAGGCCCACGGGGUUCCACACACGUUCCGUUCCCGGGGCGGCGCGCUCCCGUCAUGCCGCGCGCUCGCUUCUAUUUGCAUAUCCCCGCCCACUAGCGGCACUUUCCCGCCCAGCUCCUCCGCUUGAUAUAGCCCCGCCCCACUUCCGUCUCGGCUACUUCCGGCUCGCCUCACUUCCGCUCUGGCUCCCGUCGUAGGCGGGCUCUGCGCUCAGGGCCCAGAGCGCGGUACGGCCUCGCAAUGGUACGCGGGCGCACAGCGUUGUACCACGCGAAGUUUAUUUUAAAUAAAACCGAACACAGA